CUGGAGGUUAAGACUUCAAAAUAUCUUUUGAGGAACACAAGGUAACCCAAAACAAUACCUAAAGCACCUCUGAACUCUGACUUUGAGCUGAUUACUCAGUUCCUGGGGACCCAGAAUACCACGCUGCUUCAAUAGUUAUCUGGAAAGACAGACGCCCAGAAAAAUGAAGUGACUUGCCUGAGCUCAUGAAGCUGGAUGUGAACCCUCAGGAGAACACACAUUUUGUGCACAUCUCUGUGAAUCUAAUGGCAUCUCCAUGAAAACAAGUCUGUCUUUCUUCUUGGUAAGACAUCUGAGUUGAAUUAUUGCGUACGUUUUA